rnacentral:misc_RNA from 1 species
UCCGGCUUAUCACCGGCAGUUUCCUCAGAGUUCCCAGCAUUACCUGUUGGCAACAGAGGACGAGGGUUGCGCUCGUUGCGGGACUUAACCCAACAUCUCACGACACGAGCUGACGACAGCCAUGCAGCACCUGUGCUCCCUCCGGCCGAACCGAAGGACGCCAUCUCUGGUGUCCGCGAGGGGCAUGUCAAGGCCUGGUAAGGUUCUUCGCGUUGCCUCGAAUUGAACCACAUGUUCCACCGCUUGUGCGGGUCCCCGUCAAUUCCUUUGAGUUUUAGUCUUGCGACCGUACUCCCCAGGCGGAGUGCUUAGCGCGUUAGCUGCGCCACUGAGGGGUAACCCCCCAACGGCUAGCACUCAUCGUUUAGGGCGCGGACUAC